rnacentral:misc_RNA from 1 species
UUUCCGUAGGUGAACCUGCGGAAGGAUCAUUAUCUUGUCAUUCAGUCCCCUUGGCUGUGUUAUAUAUAUGCCCACUCUGUGUACCUUCUCCUGUUGCUUCCGCUGGGUGUGUAAUUCACCCGGCGGAAGGGUAAAAAUAACCUCUGAUUAUUGAUGAAAUCUCUGUAUGCACCGACUAGAAAGAAAAAUGUUAAAACUUUCAGCAACGGAUCUCUUGGUUCUC